CUGCAUAACGGAAUCAUAGAAGAAGAAAUUCACAAAAAGUAUUGCACAGUCUGUUUGUUAUAUCCAUUACCCGGGCUGUGCAGGUGUGGAUGAACUGAAGAACAAUGUGGAACUGGAAAAUAAACAAGAACAUACCGGUCAGGAUACAAUCUACUGCACCUUCACAGCACCUGCUGAAAGUCAACAACACACUACUUUACACUGAAGACAGCAGAACAGCAACAUCAUCUCUAGUGAGUUCACCAAACAGCAACUCUACAUCCUGAGUGACGGAGCUCAUUGAAUAAGCGCCACCAUGAAAUCGACAUUUGUUUCUGCAAAACUUUUGGUCACCACGGGAUGAAUCUUAUUUAACUCUGAAGAUCCUCUGACUGUUUUAUUUAGCACCAUCAGCAUCAAACUUGUAAUUUGUCCAAUACCUCAGUUUUGGAUUAAAUGUCUGCAAAACUAAUUACAUUCACAUCAGGCUCAGCUGUACCUAUUUGCAUCCUAACACACUAAACUAAGAUGGUGAACAUUAUAAGUAUCAUAGCUGCUAAACAUCGGCAUGUUAGCAUUGUCAUUGUGAGCAUGUUACAGGGC